GGACGAACGCUGGCGGCGUGCCUAAUACAUGCAAGUCGAACGCACAGUUUAUACCGUAGCUUGCUACACCAUAGACUGUGAGUUGCGAACGGGUGAGUAACGCGUAGGUAACCUGCCUGGUAGCGGGGGAUAACUAUUGGAAACGAUAGCUAAUACCGCAUAAUAUUGAUUAUUGCAUGAUAAUUAAUUGAAAGGUGCAAUUGCACCACUACCAGAUGGACCUGCGUUGUAUUAGCUAGUAGGUGAGGUAACGGCUCACCUAGGCGACGAUACAUAGCCGACCUGAGAGGGUGAUCGGCCACACUGGGACUGAGACACGGCCCAGACUCCUACGGGAGGCAGCAGUAGGGAAUCUUCGGCAAUGGACGAAAGUCUGACCGAGCAACGCCGCGUGAGUGAAGAAGGUUUUCGGAUCGUAAAGCUCUGUUGUAAGAGAAGAACGGGUGUGAGAGUGGAAAGUUCACACUGUGACGGUAUCUUACCAGAAAGGGACGGCUAACUACGUG
rnacentral:rRNA from 1 species